rnacentral:rRNA from 1 species
UACGUAGGGUGCGAGCGUUAAUCGGAAUUACUGGGCGUAAAGCGUGCGCAGGCGGUUUUCCAAGACAGAUGUGAAAUCCCCGGGCUCAACCUGGGAAUGGCAUUUGUGACUGGAAGGCUAGAGUGUGUCAGAGGGGGGUAGAAUUCCACGUGUAGCAGUGAAAUGCGUAGAGAUGUGGAGGAAUACCGAUGGCGAAGGCAGCCCCCUGGGAUAACACUGACGCUCAGGCACGAAAGCGUGGGGAGCAAACAGG